AAUUCUCAACCCCUCCAGCUUUUAUUGUUGGUUUUGGGGCUUGGAUGUGGAGGUCCUGUCGGCCCAUUACAGGUCGACUCCUCUGAAAUACAUUAGCGGAACCGUUUGCAAUCCGUCACAGGUGUGAUAAUUAUCUAUGCCAGUGGAUUGCUCUCUGUCUUGUUCAGCUGCCAAUCGUCCAUCAUGGACAACUAUUACUGAAU
rnacentral:misc_RNA from 1 species